rnacentral:rRNA from 1 species
AUUGAACGCUGGCGGCAUGCCUUACACAUGCAAGUCGAACGGCAGCACGGGUGCUUGCACCUGGUGGCGAGUGGCGAACGGGUGAGUAAUACAUCGGAACAUGUCCUGUAGUGGGGGAUAGCCCGGCGAAAGCCGGAUUAAUACCGCAUACGAUCCACGGAUGAAAGCGGGGGACCUUCGGGCCUCGCGCUAUAGGGUUGGCCGAUGGCUGAUUAGCUAGUUGGUGGGGUAAAGGCCUACCAAGGCGACGAUCAGUAGCUGGUCUGAGAGGACGACCAGCCGCACUGGGACUGAGACACGGCCCAGACUCCUACGGGAGGCAGCAGUGGGGAAUUUUGGACAAUGGGCGAAAGCCUGAUCCAGCAAUGCCGCGUGUGUGAAGAAGGCCUUCGGGUUGUAAAGCACUUUUGUCCGGAAAGAAAUCCUUGGCUCUAAUACAGUCGGGGGAUGACGGUACCGGAAGAAUAAGCACCGGCUAACUACGUG